CCUACGGGCGGCAGCAGUGAGGAAUAUUGGUCAAUGGACGAGAGUCUGAACCAGCCAAGUAGCGUGAAGGAUGACUGCCCUAUGGGUUGUAAACUUCUUUUAUAUGGGAAUAAAACGUUCCACGUGUGGGAUUUUGUAUGUACCAUAUGAAUAAGGAUCGGCUAACUCCGUGCCAGCAGCCGCGGUAAUACGGAGGAUCCGAGCGUUAUCCGGAUUUAUUGGGUUUAAAGGGAGCGUAGGUGGAUUGUUAAGUCAGUUGUGAAAGUUUGCGGCUCAACCGUAAAAUUGCAGUUGAAACUGGCAGUCUUGAGGACAGUAGAGGUGGGCGGAAUUCGUGGUGUAGCGGUGAAAUGCUUAGAUAUCACGAAGAACUCCGAUUGCGAAGGCAGUUCACUGGACUGCAACUGACACUGAGGCUCGAAAGUGUGGGUAUCAAACAGGAUUAGAUACCCUUGUAGUC
rnacentral:rRNA from 1 species